rnacentral:rRNA from 1 species
AUGAACGCUGGCGGCGUGCCUAAUACAUGCAAGUCGAGCGAACAGAUGAGGAGCUUGCUCCUCUGACGUUAGCGGCGGACGGGUGAGUAACACGUGGAUAACCUACCUAUAAGACUGGGAUAACUUCGGGAAACCGGAGCUAAUACCGGAUAAUAUAUUGAACCGCAUGGUUCAAUAGUGAAAGACGGUUUUGCUGUCACUUAUAGAUGGAUCCGCGCCGCAUUAGCUAGUUGGUAAGGUAACGGCUUACCAAGGCAACGAUGCGUAGCCGACCUGAGAGGGUGAUCAGCCACACUGGAACUGAGACACGGUCCAGACUCCUACGGGAGGCAGCAGUAGGGAAUCUUCCGCAAUGGGCGAAAGCCUGACGGAGCAACGCCGCGUGAGUGAUGAAGGUCUUCGGAUCGUAAAACUCUGUUAUUAGGGAAGAACAAAUGUGUAAGUAACUAUGCACGUCUUGACGGUACCUAAUCAGAAAGCCACGGCUAACUACGUG